ensembl:snRNA U6 U6 spliceosomal RNA
CUAUCUUCACUAUAUGGCAGUUUUAAACCUAGAAGGGUACAGAAAAAAUUAUCAAUGUCCUUGUGCUAGAAUGACACAGAUAUUUUUGAAGCAUUCCUAUUAUUU